UGGGGAAUUUUCCGCAAUGGGCGCAAGCCUGACGGAGCGACGCCGCGUGCGGGAUGAAGGCCUUCGGGUUGUAAACCGCUGUCAGUGGGGAGCAAAUCGUUGGGGGUUAUCCCCCUUCGUUGAGCGAUCCACAGAGGAAGCGCAGGCUAAGUUCGUGCCAGCAGCCGCGGUAACACGAACUGCGCGAACGUUAUUCGGAAUCACUGGGCUUAAAGAGUCCGUAGGCGGCUUGGUAGGUGGGGUGUGAAAGCCCACGGCUCAACCGUGGAAUUGCGCUCCAAACCACCAAGCUUGAGGGAGAUAGAGGAGAGCGGAACUGAUGGUGGAGCGGUGAAAUGCGUUGAUAUCAUCAGGAACACCGGUGGCGAAAGCGGCUCUCUGGGUCUCUUCUGACGCUGAGGGACGAAAGCUAGGGGAGCGAACGGGAUUAGAUACCCGUGUAGUCC
rnacentral:rRNA from 1 species